AUGGAGUACUAUAACAUGACGAGGCGACCAAUGCAACCAACUAUGAUGUUUGCUAUCAAGACCUACACCGCUCAGAACCGACAAUACCGACAAAACCAACAAUCGUUAAGACAGAUAGCAUCUUCUUCCCCUGGCUAUGGGGCGAUGAAUCUGACAUCCAAUAUCAUGCAAGAAGGAGAUUCUCUUGGGCAUGUGAACACAAUGCUUUCACUAGGGAUAACCCCUACACGACAUGAUCUUUCUGGAGCGUCCAUCAACAACCUGUUAACACACAAUCUGGAUACACGUGAAUCCAACCGAUUCUCUCCCAAGGUGGCGCAGGCACGCCCAGCGCCAAUGAAGGAUCUCCCAAGGGAACCAAAGUUCACCUGUCCAGUCUGCAUCAAUGAGCUGGUCGAUGCAUCGUCUACUAUCUGCGGCCACAUCUUCUGCAAGAAAUGCAUAGAGGCCUCCAUCCGAUUUCAGAAGAAGUGCCCUACCUGUCGUAGGAGGCUGACCUUGAGAAAUUUCCACCGCAUCAACCUCCCGGCGAUGGAUUGA
rnacentral:rRNA from 1 species